AAAUAUUAUACAUCCAAAGUUUACAACAACACCAUUACGUCAAAUAUUUAAGAAUUGCAUUGGUGCUAUAGAUGGUACUCACGUGGAAGUGUAUCCUAAAGUAGAAAAUUCGUAUUGUUGGCGUGGACGAUCGGGGCACACAACCACUAACGUAAUAGCAAUAUGUAACCAUGAUCUCAUGUUCACUUAUUUUGUGUCUGGUGCAGAAGGAUCAAUGCACGACUCAACGGUGCUUGAUAUAGCACGACAUACUCGUUAAUUAAACACAUAUCGAGUUUAUUGUAAAUAAUACUAUAACUAAUUAUUAAUUUGUUACAGGAAAA